rnacentral:rRNA from 1 species
CUGCAAGGUGCUGCAUGGUGUCGUCAGCUCGUGCCGUGAGGUGUCGGGUUAAGUCCCAUAACGAGCGCAACCCUUAUCGUUAGUUGCCAUCUGGUAAAGCAGGGGACUCUAGCGAAACUGCCACCGUAAGGUGAGAGGAAGUGGGGAUGACGUCAAAUCAGCACGGCCCUUAUGUCCAGGGCUACACACGUGUUACAAUGGCCGGUACAGAGGGCAGCUACCUGGUGACAGGAUGCUAAUCUCGAAAACCGGUCUCAGUUUGGAUCGAAGUCUGCAACUCGACUUCGUGAAGCUGGAUUCGCUAGUAAUCGCGCAUCAGCCAUGGCCGCGGUCGAAUACGUUCCCGGGCCUU